AAUAAAAUGGCUGAGUUAUAAGCGAUAAGUUGUAAAUUUAUUAACGAGAAAAUCUCUUUUAUUA
rnacentral:tRNA from 2 species